rnacentral:tRNA from 1 species
GCGGGGGUAGCCAAGUGGCUAAGGCGGGCGGCUGCAGACCGCUUAAUCGUGGGUUCGAAUCCCACCCCCCGCU